UACGAAGGGGGCUAGCGUUGCUCGGAAUCACUGGGCGUAAAGGGUGCGUAGGCGGGUCUUUAAGUCAGGGGUGAAAUCCUGGAGCUCAACUCCAGAACUGCCUUUGAUACUGAAGAUCUUGAGUUCGGGAGAGGUGAGUGGAACUGCGAGUGUAGAGGUGAAAUUCGUAGAUAUUCGCAAGAACACCAGUGGCGAAGGCGGACUCACUGGCCCGAUAACUGACGCUGAGGCACGAAAGCGUGGGGAG
rnacentral:rRNA from 1 species